UGAGUGCGAGCUUCUACGGAAGCGAAGUUGGUGACGUCAAGCUUCCAAGAAAAGCCCUAUACCCGUUAAGGCAUGAUUACCUGUACCCGAGACCGACACAGGUGGGGUGGUAGAGAAUACCGAGGGGCGCGAGGUAACUCUCUCUAAGGAACUCGGCAAAAUGACCCCGUAACUUCGGGAGAAGGGGUGCCAGCGCGAGCUGGUCGCAGUGAAUAGGCCCAGGCGACUGUUUACCAAAAACACAGGUCUCCGCUAAGUCGCAAGACGAUGUAUGGGGGCUGACGCCUGCCCAGUGCCGGAAGGUAAAAGGAGUUGGUCAGCGCAAGCGAAGCUAACGACUGAAGCCCCGGUGAACGGCGGCCGUAACGAUAACGGUCCUAAGGUAGCGAAAUUCCUUGUCGGGUAAGUUCCGACCCGCACGAAAGGCGUAACGAUCUGGGCGCUGUCUCGGAGAGAGGCUCGGCGAAAUAGAAUUGUCUGUGAAGAUGCGGACUACGUGCACCCGGACAGAAAGACCCUAUGAAGCUUUACUGUAGCUUGGUAUUGUGCUCGGGCUCGCAAUGCGCAGGAUAGGUGGGAGGCUUUGAUCCAUUGCUUGUGGGUGAUGGUGAGCCACUGGUGAGAUACCACUCUUUGCGAGCUAGGGUUCUAACGGUUACCCGUCAUCCGGGAACCGGACAGUAUCUGGCGGGCAGUUUGACUGGGGCGGUCGCCUCCUAAAAGGUAACGGAGGCGCGCAAAGGUUUGCUCAGGCUGGUUGGAAAUCAGCCGACGAGUGUAAAAGCAGAAGCAAGCUUGACUGUGAGACCUACAAGUCGAACAGGGAGGAAACUCGGCUUUAGUGAUCCGACGGUUCUGAGUGGAAGGGCCGUCGCUCAACGGAUAAAAGUUACUCUAGGAUAACAGGCUGAUCUCCCCCAAGAGUUCACAUCGACGGGGAGGUUUGGCACCUCGAUGUCGGCUCAUCGCAACCUGGGGCUGAAGUCGGUCCCAAGGGUUGGGCUGUUCGCCCAUUAAAGCGGUACGCGAGCUGGGUUCAGAACGUCGUGAGACAGUUCGGUCCAUAUCCGGUGCAUGCGCAGGAAUAUUGAGAGGAUUUCUCCCUAGUACGAGAGGACCGGGAGGAACGCACCUCUGGUGUAUCAGUUAUCGUGCCAACGGUAAACGCUGGGUAGCCAUGUGCGGAGUGGAUAACCACUGAAAGCAUCUAAGUGGGAAGCCCUCCUCAAGAUGAGUAUUCCCAUGGCUUAAGCCAGUAAGGUCACGGGAAGAACACCCGUUGAUAGGCUCUAUGUGGAAGCACAGUAAUGCGUGAAGCAGAGGAGUACUAAUAGACCGAGGGCUUGAC
rnacentral:rRNA from 1 species